rnacentral:rRNA from 1 species
GGUUGCUAUCAUACCAGCACUAAUGCACCGGAUCCUAUCAGAACUCCGCAGUCAAGCGUGCUUGGGUGAGAUUUGCACUAGGAUGGGUGACCCCCUGGGAAAUCCUCGUGUUGCAACCCC